rnacentral:rRNA from 1 species
UACGAAGGGGGCUAGCGUUGUUCGGAUUUACUGGGCGUAAAGCGCACGUAGGCGGAUCUUUAAGUCAGAGGUGAAAUCCCAAGGCUCAACCUUGGAACUGCCUUUGAUACUGGGGAUCUCGAGUUCGGGAGAGGUGAGUGGAACUCCUAGUGUAGAGGUGGAAUUCGUAGAUAUUAGGAAGAACACCAGUGGCGAAGGCGGCUUACUGGUCCGGAACUGACGCUGAGGUGCGAAAGCGUGGGGAGCAAACAGG